rnacentral:lncRNA from 1 species
CCCAAAGUGUUGGAAUUACAGGCGUGAACCACCAUGCCUGGCCAGCUCUAUUUCUUUAAGCCUACAUGUUUUGCACUUGUUAAAAGUAUUUGAAUAUACAAUUACUCAGUUUCCCUUGUUUAUGCUUGAAUUUUGUAUAAUCUUAAAUAUUUUUUCCAAUCUAAGCUUUAUUUUAUCCCGUUUCUUCUAUAUUUGUAUAACUUUAGGUGGCUAUCUUCAUUGAAAAUUUUUUCUCAAAAGCCUUAAAAUAGAACAUAGUUCUUGGCAGCAAUUUAAAGUUAUUUGAGGAGAAGGGGAGACUUACAAUGAUGCUUCAAUUGAAGCAAACUAAAAAGUAAUGAAGCAAGACAGAGGAAAAAGCAGUAUUCACUUGAGCACAUCCCAAAAGAAUAACAUUUCAAAUGUAACUAGAAAAAAGAUUGCUGAAGUUUGCAAUACAGAAAUAAUUAUUAAGAUAGCUUUAAAGCCCUGCUCAGCUUUUGAAUGUUGGGAAUUGACCCAGAGGUGGCUGUAAACUAAGAUGGUUCCUUCAGUAAUGACCAUUUUUUCUUUUUCAAGAUGAUGAUUAUUCCCCACCUUCUAGGACACAAAGACCAACGAGCCACCACAGCCACCAGUCCCAGAACCCGCUAAUGCUGGGGAACGGAAAAUGAGGGAGUUCAACUCUGGCCCUCACAAUCCAGUGGAGGAGACGAAACUCAUCUGCCUCUGUCCCUCUGGGCACGCCUCAUGCCAGGUGCAUCUGUGGACAGGGGCCAUGCUCCUGGGCUUCCAAAGUUGGAGAAAGCUGCCAGGCUCAGAGCCACCUAAGCUGAAGAUUCCCUUGAGAACAAGUACUGUCCUGCGGUUUCAUGGCCUUUCUUCCAUUUGUGGUUCUUGCGAAGUGGAAUUUAAAUGACAUCUUAUCAAGAUCGAUAAAUACUAGUUUCCCAGUGCUGGAAUAUAGAAAAUGGAUGGACAAGUAAAUCCCACUCAGCACCCAUAGUCCAGGCAUGGGGACCUCAACACACCUGAGCCCCAAACAUCACCUUUCAUUCUGGACCUACCAUGAAAGACUUCUGAAUCCAGGAAGAGAAACUGACUGGGCAACAUGUUAUUCAGUGCAAGGAUUACAGGUAUGAGCCACCAUGCCUGGCCCCUACCCUGCCUAUUGAGAACCAAAAGAAGGAUCCAAAUUCUCCUUAGCUCAACUUGAGCCAUUUCCUGAUUGCUUCAUCAGCAAGGAGCUGGUUAUUGGGCUGUCCAGGCCUCCCAAGCAGCACAGAAAUGAGAAACAGGACCUUGCCCUGUCACUCAGGAUGGAGUUCAAUGGUCCUAUCAUGGCUCAUUAUAGCCUUAAACUCCCAGGCUCAAGCAAUCCUACCAUGUCAGCCUUCCCAGUAGCUGGGACUACAGGAAGUGACCUCACAAUGACUCAAGCUACCACAUACUGUUGAUUGUGAAAUGCCAGUUGAAGCAUAUGUCCUGCGAGCUUAGGGGUGCUACAAGUUGACCACUGCAGCAGUAAAGAUGACUCUGAAGAAUGGCAUGGGAUGGAUCCUUUCGAAUGCACUUGAGCAGCGGUCUCCAACCACAGGGCCACAGAGCUGGAGCUGGAUCUACCAUGAAAGACUUCUGAAUCCAGGAAGAGAGACUGACUGGGCAACAUGUUAUUCAGGGUCUCCCUCUGUUGUCCAAGGCUGGAGUGUAGUAGUGCUA